GCCUUGGUAGCUCAGUCGGUAGAGCAUGAGACUUUUAAUCUCAGGGUCGUGGGUUCGAGCCCCACCUAGGGCG